rnacentral:rRNA from 1 species
UGAUGACGAGACGCUAAGGCGUUGAAGCAGUGUAUGUCAGACUUCCAAGAAAAGCUCGCAAUGUCAUAAAUAAGAAAUGCCUGUACCAUAACCGACACAGGUGGGUAGGUAGAGUAUACUAAGGGGCGCGAGAUAACUCUCUCUAAGGAACUCGGCAAAAUGACUCCGUAACUUCGGGAGAAGGAGUGCCUUAUUUAUAAGGUUGCAAUAACAAGAUCCAAGCAACUGUUUAUCAAAAACACAGGUCUCCGCUAAGUCGUAAGACGAUGUAUGGGGGCUGACGCCUGCCCAGUGCCAGAAGGUUAAAGAAGUUGGUUAGUGUAUGCGAAGCUGAUGACUGAAGCCCUGGUGAACGGCGGCCGUAACUAUAACGGUCCUAAGGUAGCGAAAUUCCUUGUCGGGUAAGUUCCGACCCGCACGAAAGGCGUAAUGAUUUGGAUACUGUCUCGGAGAGAGGCUCGGUGAAAUAGACUUGUCUGUGAAGAUGCGGACUACCUGCACCAGGACAGAAAGACCCUAUGAAGCUUUACUGUAACUUGAAAUUGGAAUUGGACUUUGCUUGCGCAGUAUAGGUGGGAAGCGUUGAAGAUAUUCUUGCGGGAGUAUUGGAGCUAUCAGUGAGAUACCACUCUUGUAAUGUUAGAUUUCUAACUUUGAACCAUAAUCUGGUCAAAGAACAGUUUCAGGUGGGCAGUUUGACUGGGGCGGUCGCCUCCCAAAUGGUAACGGAGGCGUACAAAGGUUUCCUCUGAACGGAUAGAAAUCGUAUCUAGAGUGUAAAGGCAUAAGGAAGCUUGACUGUGGGACCUACAAGUCGAGCAGGGACGAAAGUCGGUCUUAGUGAUCUGACGGUACUGAGUGGAAAGGCCGUCACUCAACGGAUAAAAGUUACUCUAGGAUAACAGGCUGAUCUCCCCCAAGAGUUCACAUCGACGGGGAGGUUUGGCACCUCGAUGUCGGCUCAUCGCAUCCUGGGGCGGUAGUACGUCCCAAGGGUUGGGCUGUUCGCCCAUGAAAGCGGUACGCGAGCUGGGUUCAGAACGUCGUGAGACAGUUCGGUCCAUAUCCGGUGUAGGCGCUAGAAUAUUGAGAGGAGCCUUCUUUAGUACGAGAGGACCGAGAAGGACACACCGCUGGUGUACCAGUUAUCGUGCCAACGGUAAACGCUGGGUAGCUAUGUGUGGAGUGGAUAACCGCUGAAAGCAUCUAAGUGGGGAGCCCACCUCAAGAUGAGUAUUCAC